rnacentral:lncRNA from 1 species
AGAUGAGCAAGACCUGAUUCCUGUCCCUAAGGAGAGGCUUCCGGGUGGACUGGACGUGAGUCAUCACCUGAAGUUUGAGAUGUUGACCCCACAGGGUCCCCCUCACAGGUUCCAAGGGACGGGACUUUUGGGAAGGGGGACCCUGGUCAGGCCAACAGACAGUGAAGAUUCGGAGCUCCCAGGCAGGAGGAGGGCCACACGUGCAGACAGGCCGGCCAGCAGGAGCGGAGGUCGGAGGCUCUCAGACCCACCCGUUCUCUCCAGCCUCGGGGUCACCGCCAGCCAGCCUGCCUCUCACACUAGUGGGACCAGGGCAAGAAUUCGGGGCACAGGGGUCGCAGAACCCACGUUCGGAAACCCUCCAGUGAGAACCAGCUGCUGCCGCCCAGUGCACUCUGGGCUCCCGUCCAGCCCCCCACUCCGGCCGCAGACACAGGGAGCAUCGGGCCGGGGCGGCCUCACAGCCCAGGAUGGAUCCUAACCCACGCGGGGAGGACGUGCGCGGCGGGGAGCCCUCGGAGGCUGGCGGCUGCUCCUCAGGUGCGCCCGGUGCCUCUCUCCUGGGAGCUCCACCCGAGGGAGCCCGACGCCCUGUCCCCACAAAACGCGCGCCCCAAUAUUAACAGCAGCAGUGUUUCUAAUUUCCAAAAUGUGGAAUCAACCCAAAUGUCCAUGGACUGAUGGCGGCUGAGACGGCCGAAGCUCUCCACCUGCUGGAAUUCCGUCACCUGCAGCAGGGGCGAGGCCCCCCGAACUCUGGCGGACCCCCAGCCACGGCGCUCGGGGAGGGAGCCACACACAGGAGGCCCCACGGGGUGGCAGGAUGGCUCGUCCACGGAGGGGGGCUGGGCGCUGGGGACGGGAAGGGAUGGGGCUUCUUUUUGGGGAGAUGGAAUGUUCUAAUGUGGAUGGUGGUGGAUGCCGAGUGCUGUGAAUAUUUUUUUUAAUAAUAUAUUUUUUUAAAUUUUUAUUUAUUUAUGAUAGUUACAGAGAGAGAGAGAGGCAGAGACACAGGCAGAGGGAGAAGCAGGCUCCAUGCACCGGGAGCCCGAUGUGGGAUUCGAUCCCGGGUCUCCAGGAUCGCGCCCUGGGCCAAAGGCAGGCGCUAAACCGCUGCGCCACCCAGGGAUCCCUGAAUAUUUUUUUAAAAAUCACUGAACUGUGCACUUUUGGGCGAGAAUUGUAUGCUAUGUGACUUUGUGACUUGUAUCUCAAUAAAGUUGUUGGGGAAUCCCAGCUGCAGUCCUGGGACACCCUCCCCUUGGUGGAUCUGAUUGCCGCCUCCCUCUCCACAUCUGGGCUGCGUCCGGGACUCGCCACUCGUGGGGACCCCCUGCCCACCGCAGGACCAGAUCCCACGUAAGACGUCCCGCUGCGCUGCAGCCGUGGGGACGUGGGACCCCACGGACCAGGAGAGGGGGUGGCUCAGGCCCCAGCCUGGCCUGCCCGUGAGCUGGACACCACCCAGGGACCCCAUCGACCCGCCUGGGACAGAGGACCUCCCCUCUGAGCCCCACUCCCGACUCCCGGAACUGUGAGACGUAAGCCAGUCUGUAGCUGUUACCCCGAGACAGACCCGGACCCACGCCUCGGAAGCUCCCGGGAAGCCUGCAG